GAUGAAGAACGCAGCGAAAUGCGAUAAGUAGUGUGAAUUGCAGAAUUCAGUGAAUCAUCGAAUCUUUGAACGCACAUUGCGCCCCUUGGUAUUCCAUGGGGCAUGCCUGUUCGAGCGUCAUUUGUACCUUCAAGCUCUGCUUGGUGUUGGGUGUUUGUCUCGCCUCUGCGUGUAGACUCGCCUCAAAACAAUUGGCAGCCGGCGUAUUGAUUUCGGAGGGCAGUACAUCUCGCGCUUUGCACUCAUAACGACGACGUCCAAAAGUACAUUUUUACACUCUUGACCUCGGAUCAGGUAGGGAUACCCGCUGAACUUAAGCAUAUCAAUAAGCGGAGGA
rnacentral:misc_RNA from 1 species